UACCCAGCAAUGCCAAAAUGAUGCAGUUUGUAAAGCCAGAGUCUCAUUGAAUGUAUAAGCUGGACACAUGCUCAACCAAGACUCAUGCUCUUAUGUUGACGUGAGCCAAUGGAUUCCUGUGGGAGCAGGUCUAGGGCUUGACUGACAGACCUCCAUAUUUUAUUAGAAUAUUUAUUCUUUUAAGAUGAUAGAUGCCAAAAUAAAUAUGGAUGGAAGAAAGGAAGACCAACUCAGAGGGAAGGACGCAUAGUCCCCUAUACCUUAAGCAUGUCAGUCUGGCAAGCGACUCUCAGUUUUCAUACAGGCAGAACUACUGUCAUUCAAAUGUGAAGACACUGUGCCUUUACUGUUGUUUAUAUUCUUUUAACAUAUCAUUUUGUGCACUUUAUUGUUAACUUGAAGUAUUUUCUUUAUAAAAUUUUUCUUUAUUCAAACUAAGGAUGAGCUUCUGAGAAUCCCGUGACUGGAGUGUAGACUAUAGAUGCUUCGUUGGAAUGAACACGGAUUAUCAGACUGCUUUGCAAACUGACGGUGUAGGCACUGACGUUGAGAACAGCCUCAGUUUAUGUAACCUCGCCCGCCUGAGGCCCUGAAGUAAGACUUUGGGUGACUUAGAAGGAGGAUAGUACCAGGAGGAUGACCAGAGAGGAGGCAGCCACCCAUAGCAGAUGUACUGUGAUUGUGCCAGAGGCAGACCUUGCCUGGCAGACUGGUGCUGUAGCAUGCAGGGACCAGAGCUGGGUAGGAGAAACCACGGGGAUGAACACAUUUGCGAUUGAGAGUGAUACAGGUAAUUUAUGUUCCUCAUCAGAACCCGGGCUAGACUUGGGGAUUUGAUAGAACUGACUUUGUGUAGUGAAUUUUGAAUGUAUUUUUGAGUAAGCGAGCAGGCAUUUGCCUCUAGAAUAAAGAAGACAUUAAGGCUGUGGGUGUGGCUCCUGUGUGGGGCUCUCAUGUGGAAUGCUUGAAAUGCAAACCUACGGAAGGAGCGAGAUCCCUCAGAGCCUGUGUUUUACGAAGCACAGAUAUCAACGCCAAUGCUCACAGCCACUUCAGGACUAAUUCCCUGUAGGUUCCCCCAGCGAUUUAUUGGAUCAGUCUGGAGAUUUGCAAAGUGGAUUUUAUUCUAUUCAUCUUCUGGCUCUUAAUCCCCCUCUACACCCAACGUGUCACGUCUCAAUUUGAUAUUUCAGGACCUCUAUAUAAGUCAUCAGAGCUUAGCGGGAGUCAAAUCAGACAAAAUAAACGGGCUAACUGCUCAGUCCCAAAUUUGACUUCAGUUGUUAUGGGGUUAGGGAAAAAACCACGGAGCAAUUUAUAACUAACCUGUCUGCUUGGUGAGAGACUCUGAUGUCCGGCAAACCCUCCCGGGCAUACUUAACCCACCUCAAAUGACACAUGGGGAAAAUGCCCGUUCUUUAACAAACAACUACAUGAAAACAAUUCAAAAUGUAAACAUGGAGGAAUAUCAACCGCACAUCCCACUGGAUUUUGUGAAGAGGGAGGCAGGCUGUGGUGGGAGUUCCUCACCAAAUUCAAAGCUCAGAAAGGGAGUUAACCUCUGAAACAUGAAGGUAGCACUACUUCCUGGAGAGAACUAGAGUGAAGAGUUGGAAAGUGGAAGAAAUCGUGUUUCCCUAACAUCACCCUCUUUGAGGUUCACCAACAUUUCUAGAACUUUCUAUUUCUGGCCUGGCUCCUUGUGUUACUGGCUAUGCUGUGAAUUUAUCUUGUUCUGCCCUGGGCAUACAAAAGUUCCUAUAACUUCUCUAUUCUUCGUGUAUGUGCAUGUAUACAGGUGUUCUAGUGAGUAUGUGGACACAUGUGCAUGUGUGUGCAUACCUGCGUGUGUAUGUACACACAUGCCUGCAUGUUCC